AGAAAGCAAUUGAACUGAACCCUAAAGAUGCUACUUCAAUUCACCUUAUGGGUAUUUGGUGCUAUACAUUUGCCGAAAUGCCUUGGUAUCAAAGAAGAAUUGCUAAAAUGCUGUUUGCAACUCCUCCUAGUUCCACCUAUGAGAAGGCCUUAGGCUACUUUCACAGGGCAGAACAAGUGGAUCCAAACUUCUACAGCAAAAACUUACUUCUUUUAGGAAAGACAUACUUGAAACUACACAACAAAAAGCUUGCUGCUUUCUGGCUAAUGAAAGCCAAGGACUAUCCAGCACACACAGAGGAGGAUAAACAGGAAAUAAUUUAGUUACUAUCACCAGGUGGAUGUUACGGGUUGCCUGCUACAAUGCAGAAUUAUUCCUGUUUGACACACAUGGCAGAUCGAGUUAACAUUUCUAAAACAUAAAAGUCAUGGGAUGUGUACUAAAGUGGAAGAGCUGAGAGUCUCAUCUGGUCACUGUCAAGACAUUUUAUUGUUAUAAUGUCCUAUCUGGUUUUUGGAAACUCUUAGAAACCCCACUUUAUAAACUUAAAUUUCACA
rnacentral:lncRNA from 1 species